rnacentral:rRNA from 1 species
AGCAGCCGCGGUAAUUCCAGCUCCAAUAGCGUAUAUUAAAGUUGUUGCAGUUAAAAAGCUCGUAGUUGAAUUUCGGGAUUGACGUGAUGGUCGUGCCUUAAGGGGUAUGAACUGUUGCUGUUGAUUUCUCACCUUCUGGAGAAACUUGAUGUCCUUAAUUGGGUGUCUUGCGGAUCCAGGACCUUUACCUUGAAAAAUUAGAGUGUUUAAAGCAGGCAUUUUGCUCGAAUACAUUAGCAUGGAAUAAUAGAAUAGGACGGCAUGGUUCUAUUUUGUUGGUUUCUAGGAUCACCGUAAUGAUUAAUAGGGAUAGUUGGGGGCAUUAGUAUUCAAUUGUCAGAGGUGAAAUUCUUGGAUUUAUUGAAGACUAACUACUGCGAAAGCAUUUGCCAAGGAUGUUUUCAUUAAUCAAGAACGAAAGUUAGGGGAUCGAAGACGAUCAGAUACCGUCGUAGUCUUAACCAUAAACUAUGCCGACUAGGAAUCAGACGAUGUUAAUUUUUUAAUGAC